rnacentral:rRNA from 1 species
CACGUAGGGUGCGAGCGUUGUCCGGAAUUAUUGGGCGUAAAGAGCUCGUAGGCGGUGUGUCGCGUCGGCCGUGAAAACCUGCAGCUUAACUGUGGGCUUGCGGUCGAUACGGGCAUCACUGGAGUUCGGCAGGGGAGACUGGAAUUCCUGGUGUAGCGGUGAAAUGCGCAGAUAUCAGGAGGAACACCGAUGGCGAAGGCGGGUCUCUGGGCCGGCACUGACGCUGAGGAGCGAAAGCGUGGGGAGCGAACAGG